GUAUAGUAUAUACGUCAGUAUCAGCUGAGACUUAGUAUACAAUCUACACUUUAAAUACAUACUACGCUUUAAACAUUAGACACAGUUAUGAUGCUAAGAAAAGUGGACUUUAAAGAAGUGGUAGCCCCCGAAAUUGCAGGGGAAGAAUUAGUUAAUAAGGAUUUAAGUCCUGUGAGAGAGAUGAAACCCUCUCCUAGAGAACCAAUGGUCAGCCCAACCUUCAGGUAUUAACUAUAUGGUGUAUAUAUUU